UGGUUCUCCAUAUCCAUAAAGAGAUCUCAUCUGUCCAUAGCCUUUCUUGUCUCCUCCUUUCCAUCUUUUUCCCCACACCAUAUUUGGUUUGAAAAUACAAUAAUACACCUGGCCACUUCAUGUCCCAAUCACCCGGGGAAACCAAAACCGUUCAUUCAACAACCACCAAAGCAAGCGACCAGAGGAAGCCACAAAUAUACAUAAAUUAUUAAAAAUCGUGAGAUAGAAUGAGAAUGAGUCUAUGGAUGAAUGGAAAGGGUUCUUGAACUUGUUUACACUUUUAGCAUCAAUACCUAUAAUUUGAACAGGUUUAUGCAAGGCAAGGGGGUAGCACAAC
rnacentral:lncRNA from 1 species